rnacentral:rRNA from 1 species
GAUGAACGCUGGCGGCGUGCCUAAUACAUGCAAGUCGAGCGAACAGACGAGGAGCUUGCUCCUCUGACGUUAGCGGCGGACGGGUGAGUAACACGUGGAUAACCUACCUAUAAGACUGGGAUAACUUCGGGAAACCGGAGCUAAUACCGGAUAAUAUAUUGAACCGCAUGGUUCAAUAGUGAAAGACGGUGUUGCUGUCACGUAUCGAGGGAUCUGCGCCGCAUUAGCUAGUCGGUACGGUAACGGCUUACCAAGGCAACGAUGCGUAGACGACCUGAGAGACUGAUAGGCGACCUUGGAACGUGACCGCCGUCAUGGGUCCUGAGGGACGGCGCAGUAGGGAAUCGUACGCAAUGGGCGAAAGCCUUACGGAGCAACGCCGAGUGAGAGAUGACAGUCCUCGGAUCGGAAAACUGUGCUAUUAGGGAAAAACCACUGUGUAAGUAGACAUGCACGUCUUGACGGUACCUAACAAGAAAGCCACGGCUAACUACGUG